GCCGGCGGAGAUAGUCCGUCGAAUGCACCCCAGUUUCCGAUAGAUCACUGAAGAAUCGUUGUGCGUGGUUGGUAUCCGGAUGGGUGACCAUCUGGACAAUCACGUGCGGCUGGCU
rfam:Asian citrus Psyllid, Diaphorina citri - Florida Strain, whole genome shotgun sequence.